rnacentral:rRNA from 1 species
CCUGGAAAGGCACAUCAUAGAGGGUGAGAAUCCCGUCUGUGGUCCAGCUCUGCUCCUAUGUGAUACGUUUUCUAAGAGUCGGGUUGUUUGGGAUUGCAGCCCUAAAUGGGUGGUAAAUACCAUCUAAAGCUAAAUACUAGCGAGAGACCGAUAGCGAACAAGUACCGUGAGGGAAAGAUGAAAAGAACUUUGAAAAGAGAGUUAAACAGUACGUGAAAUUGUCAGAAGGGAACGGCUUGAAACCAGUCUUGCGUCUGGAAUUCAGCCUCUCUAACGAGGGGUGCAAUUCGCUAGAUGCAGGUCAGCGUCAGUUUGAGGAGGGGGAAAAAGACUAGAGAAGGUGGCCUUCGGGUGUUAUAGCUCUGGUUUCUACCCCUCUUUGGAACUGAGGGCCGCGGCGUGAUACGGGGUUGAUGGGUUCCGGUGACCUACUGGUAAACUGCAUGCAGAUUGCUAGCAAGGCUUGCUUGAUUCCCUUUAGCUCCACACGUCUAGGAUGCUGACGAAAUGGUCUCAAACCACCCGUCUUGAAACACGGACCAAGGAGUCUAACGUAUAUGCGAGUGUAUGGGUGUCAAACCCCUGCGCGUAAUGAAAGUGAAACUGGUGUGAACCUUCGGGUGCAACAUCGACCGGUCUGGAUUUUUUUGAUAGAUCUGAGUAAGAGCAUAUACGCUAGGACCCGAAAGAUGGUGAACU